UAUCUCUGUAGAGUCUGCAUAUCAAUAAGCGGAGGAAAAGAAACUAACUAGGAUUCCCUCAGUAGCGGCGAGUGAAGCGGGAAGAGCUCAAAUUUGAAAUCUUCAAGGUUUUACCUUGACGAAUUGUAGUUUAAAGAAGUGUUUUCUGUUGGAGUUUUGGUAAAAGUUCUUUGGAAUAGGACAUCAUAGAGGGUGAGAAUCCCGUAUUUGACCAUUAUUUCCAGCUUUGUGAUACACUUUCAAAGAGUCGGAUUGUUUGGGAAUGCAGUCCAAAAUGGGUGGUAAAUUUCAUCUAAAGCUAAAUAUUGGCGAGAGACCGAUAGCGAACAAGUACCGUGAGGGAAAGAUGAAAAGAACUUUGAAAAGAGAGUUAAACAGUACGUGAAAUUGUCAAAAGGGAAGCGUUUGGCACCAGUGUUGUUUCUACGAAAAUCAAUUUAUGAUGGCUUGAUGCUAAGCUUUAAGACUUUAUCCGCUUGUUGUUUAGUUUUCUUGUCUUUGUGAAUGCACUUUUCGUGGAACAAGUCAACAUCAAUUUCUUUUGCUGUAAAAGGGUAAGAGGAAGGUGGCUUCGGCUUCGGUUGAAGUGUUCAUAGCCUUUUAUCUCUGCAGUCGGAGAGAUUGAGGUCUGCAGCGUAGACUCUUCGGGGUUAGAUACGUCGGUGCUAAGCUAUAGCUUUUCAUAGACAACUUGUUGACUAUGUUUAGUCAUGUGGCUUACCCGCUGGCGCUAUUUUACCUACGCUUAGGAUGUUGAGUCAUCACACAUCUCU
rnacentral:rRNA from 1 species